GACGAACGCUGGCGGCGUGCCUAACACAUGCAAGUCGAACGGAAGUAAGUGCUUCGGUAUUUAUUUUAGUGGCGAACGGGUGGGUAACGCGUGAGGAACCUGCCUUUCAGUGGGGGACAACAGUUGGAAACGACUGCUAAUACCGCAUGACGCUUCUUGGGGGCAUCCCCGAGAAGUCAAAGCUUUAUGUGCUGAAAGAUGGCCUCGCGUCUGAUUAGCUAGUUGGUGGGGUAACGGCCUACCAAGGCGACGAUCAGUAGCCGGACUGAGAGGUUGAACGGCCACAUUGGGACUGAGAUACGGCCCAG
rnacentral:rRNA from 1 species